CAGCUGACUAGACCUGACUGUCCAUGAUCCUUCCCUCCAGGACCUGGAAGUCUGCACAGUUGGCACACAGAGCUGGGCUUCUCACCUGGGCUCCUUGGGAUGCUGCUCUGGGAAAGUUCCUUCCUCUGGCCGACCCCAGGUCAUCACACUUAAGGGGGAAGAGAUGAACAAAGACACCUUCAGAGAAGAGAAGCCAAAACCAGGUCCGACCAUCACACCUGCCAGGGUUUUGUGUCUAGGGUAAGCCCGUGCCCUCCAAGUGCCAACAGGGGAGGGAAAUGGACAGGAGGACUCCACGUGCAGGCAGAUAGCCUACCUGUCCAGCAUUGGCGCUGAACACUGUUAUCACUUCUGGAGUGAAACAAAGCUCUUUGGAUUUUUAGCUGUGGGAGACUAGAAGUUUUAAGCAAGGAAGAGCAAAGCACAUUGUCUCACUGCCCUGGUUUCUAAUGGAGACCCACCUAAUCAUAAGGGGAAGAAUGUCCUUGUUAGCCCAAUCUCUGGCAUGAGGUCUUCAGUCUCAGAAGCUGGACACAGGCCCCAGACUAGACCUACCCCAUGGAGUGGAGGCCUUUCAUAUAGACACAGAGGUCACUGACAGUUGCUAUGCUUGACUUGGG
rnacentral:lncRNA from 10 species